GGCCUAACACAUGUAAGUCGAGCGGAUCCUUCGGGAUUAGCGGCGGACGGGUGAGUAACGCGUGGGAAUAUGCCCUUCUCUACGGAAUAGCCUCGGGAAACUGGGAGUAAUACCGUAUACGCCCUUUGGGGGAAAGAUUUAUCGGAGAAGGAUUAGCCCGCGUUGGAUUAGGUAGUUGGUGGGGUAAUGGCCUACCAAGCCUACGAUCCAUAGCGGGUCUGAGAGGAUGAUCCGCCACACUGGGACUGAGACACGGCCCAGACUCCUACGGGAGGCAGCAGUGGGGAAUAUUGGACAAUGGGGGGAACCCUGAUCCAGCCAUGCCGCGUGUGUGAAGAAGGCCUUAUGGUUGUAAAGCACUUUAAGCGAGGAGGAGGCUCUCUUGGUUAAUACCCAAGAUGAGUGGACGUUACUCGCAGAAUAAGCACCGGCUAACUCUGUGCCAGCAGC
rnacentral:rRNA from 1 species